GGGCACAUGGUGUAGUUGGUUAUCACGCCCGCUUAGCAUAAUAUCCCUCUCGAGGGCUGCUAAUUCUGCGGGCGGUCCCCGGUUCAAUUCCGGGUGUGUCCA